rnacentral:lncRNA from 1 species
CUAUGUAAUUCUUUAUAUAAAGGGCACCUAUCAAUAAAUAAAAUAAUAAUUCUCUAUUCUCUUUGUUAUCUCUCAUUGUCUUUACAUUAGUGGGUCUCGGCAUCCCCUUGGCAGCCCUAAGCGGGUCUCGGCGGCCCUAGGCUGGUCUCGACAGUCCUUUGGCGGGUCUAGGCUGUCCUAAACAGGUGUAAACAGUCCUUACACGGGUCCUAAUGUAACACUCUGACCCGGAUUUAAUUCAAGAAAUACAACUCAUUUCAUAAAGCAAAUAUAGCAAAGAACUUCAAUUUAGACUUCAGAAUUUACCUUCAAGGAUUCUAUUUAUGUGAAUCCAUAAAUUACGAAGUCGCCAGAGGACAUUGAACCCUCGCCAGACAAUUCCUUGAGCCUUAAUUAAUCGAUUCUCACUCACCAUAUAUUGUUUGGAGAAACCAAGACCAGCUGCCUUUGUUGCCAAAAUCCGAACAACCUGAUCGAAGACAUUGCUAUCUUCUCUCCUUCGAUUCUCUGUCAUCGGAGUUUCUCAUUGAAAGACGAAGACCACAACGAGGCAAAGGUUUGGCCACCGAUGUGACGUUGUGGGACAUUCGAACGACGGAUAAGGGAUCCGAGCUCCAUCGAUGCUCCCAAUGAGGAGGUUAAAGCUUUCUCCCCUUAAAUAAAUCACGAUUCUUCAGUUCUAGAGAGGGAGGGAGAGGGUUAGUACGUGAAGGUGGUUCUCCUUCCCUGAAGAGAGAGUUCUCCAAAUCCCCCUAAAAAGAUGAGGUCGGUGAAAUAUAUAACUGAGAAGGUCGGUGCCAUUCUCUUCUUCCUCCCUUUUCUCAAAUCUUCUCAACCUUUCCAAAUUAAUUUAAUAUUUUUUUUUUCAUAUAAAGUAUUUAUUUAUUAUUUCUAAAUUAUCCGGGUAUUAUACCUAAGCAGGUCUAGGCGACCUCUUAACGGCCCUAAAUGGGUCUCGGCAUCACCUUGGCGGCCUUAGACAGGUAUCGACAGACCCUUGGCGAGUCUAGGCGCUCCUAAGCGGGUCUAGCUGGUCUCGACGUGGAUCUAAGAGGGUUAAGGCGGUCCCUUGGUAGGUCAAGGCGGGUCAAAGCGGCCCUUUGAGGCCGUCAGGGGGUCAAGGCGGCCCCUAAGCGGGUCAAGCCAGGUCAAGGCGGGUCAACGCAGUCCAAGACUGUUCAAGGCAACCCCUUAACGAGUCAAGGCGGCCCAAGGUGGGUCAAGGCGACCCAAGACGGUUCAAGGCAGCCCCUUAAUGGGUUAAGGCGGGUCUAGGCAGGUCAAGGCUGACACGACCCACCCCGAAUUUCACCCUGAAACCCGGAGUAAGUCGUGCGGGGACCACCUCCAAGGAAAAUUUACUGAAAAGAUUAAGAAAAUCUCCCUUGCAGAUGGACAACCCUAACUCGAAAAUUUCAUAUUACACUCUUAAUUCAACACUUCCGAACAUCACAUAAUUAUCCUUCAGAAAUUCUACACAUAAUAUACAAUAAUCCCAAAGUAUUCAGAGCUACUAAACACAAGCGGAAGCAAAAAAACACGAGUAGGUUGAACAGGUAACCUACUGACGAAAACUGGCAGAAAUGCGGGUGACUAUGCCUCGCCUCCUACUAGAUCCAACCCGAACUCUGCAGACUGGGCAAUUUAAAACGAAGGGCCCAGGGGAAAACAUUUAAUAACGUUAGAGUGAGUGGACAAAAAUAAAAUAAUAAAUAAAUUAUUUAUGUUUCCCCAAAUUAAUUUCUAAGGAAAAAUCGAAUGCAUGCCGCAAGCGAUAAAACUUUUAUCUCAUAAAAUAUCGAGCCUCCUAGACUCUAUAAUAUAUGUAUGUAUUUACACUCGUCCAUACUCCCUAUAUAAAUUCAUGGGUCUAUAUAGGGCUACUACGCUCGCGUCCAACGCUCACGUCACGCCUUAAUGCGGNNNNNNNNNNNNNNNNNNNNAUAAAUACAUAUUUAUAUCCACCGAAAUCCCAUUUUCGGUAACUCUCCAAGAGAAAUAAAAUCGUCAAAUUUAAAAUGACGUUAAAAUAUUCCGCAACAUUAAUUGUUCAACCAUGAACUAUAGCAUGCAUUUAUUUAAAAUAAACGUCCACUCACAAAUUUGGCCUAAGCCUGAUGUCGAUCUGGGGCCUCGUCUGCUCGAGCCUCCUCACGUCCUGUUUCAAAUAUAAUAUUAAUUUCCCAACCAAUAAUCCAAUAUUUAAUCAAAAUAGGCAAAAUUACCCGAGAGCCAUAAAUACGCUCAUCAUUGCCUAACUUCGAUAUUCUUAAAUCGGAACGAUCCGAACUUAAAUAUCAUACUCAACAGUCGUAAAUACAACAUCUCCAAAAUACGACUUAAAUCCUACGGCCGGAUUCUACAUUAAUUAACCGCCAAAAAUACCAAACUUCGGAAAUUCACAAACCUAUCCAAAUCUCAUCCAAAAAUUCCAUAAAUCACAUCAAUAUACUCCUCUUAAUAUUCCACACUUAAAACCAUAAAAAUCUUCUAACCGGCGGCUCCGCUGGCAGCAGCGGCUGAAGGCCAAUUCCGGCGACCUCCAAAAUCUAUGAAAUUUUGACAGAAUAAUCCUCUCAUCAUGCUCUACAACUUUCCUAAUUAGUACAAACACCAAUUCCAAGCCUAACUAGGGUAAUCGACUAAAAAUAUCAAAAACGCCAUAAAACUUCCACCUCAAAUUUCUCCUUACCUAGCUCAAAAGGGAGUGAGUCCUUUUAGGGCAAGGCUGCUGGGUUGGAGGGCUACAAAACUGUACCAAGCUUGCCCGGAUUGGUGGCCGGAGGAGGGAGUUCCGGCGACCGGAAGUUCGGGGCAGCCUAGCCUUUCGGGCGGCACCGCUCUCUCAAGGCGGCGCUAGGGGGGCUGUCACCGGUCUUGGAAGAUAGUUGGGUCGGAGACCGAUCGAUUGGGACCGGUGCGGCGGUCUGGGGCGGCCGGACGGCGGCGGUCUGGCGGUCGGAAAACCGGACAGCGGGAGGGGCUCGGGAGAGAGAGAACCGGGAGGAGAAAAGAGAGGAAAAAGAGAAAAGAAAAGAUGGGCCUCUACACCCGGUCCAACAACCUUAUAUACCAAAACCCAAUCUAAAAUUUACACCCCAAAAUAAUACCCUAAUAAAAAUUACCUUUUACUAGCUAAAAUUUACCAUUUUUACCGUCGACAUAAUUUCCUCCCACGAAUAAUCCUCCGCACAGUAAUCGUCCCCGAAACCCCUCUAGGGACCAAUUAAACUAUUAACUCAAUGAUCAAGACGGUAAAAUUCUUAUUAUAAUCACGCUAGUAUAUAAGGUAAAAAUAUAAGGGUCGGGAUGUGACAAAGGCGGCCCAAGGCAUGUCAAGGCGGCCCAAGGCGGGUCAAGACGGCCACUUGGCGGUCCUAAGCGGGUCAAAGCGGGUUAAGGCGACCCAAGGCGGGUCAAGGCGGGUUAAGGCAGGUCAAGGCAGCUUAAGUCGAUUCAAGGCAGCCCCUUAACAGGUCAAGGCGGCCCAACGCGGGUCAAGGUGGCCUAAGGCGGGUCAAGGAGUCCCAAGCGGGCCUAGGAGAGUCAAGGUAGCCCUUAACGGGUCAAGGCGGGUCAAGACAACCCAAGCCAGCCCAAUGGGGCCCUAGUUGUGUCUUGGCGGGUCAAGACAGCCCUUGUUGGGUCAAGGUGACCCUAGGCGGUCGUAGGAGGGUCAAGGAAGCCCCCUUAACGGGUGAACCAAGGCGGGCCUAGAAGGGUCAAAGCAGCCCCGUGGUGGCCCUGGAUGGGUCAAGACGGCCUCUGAACGACCUUAGGUGGGUCAAGGCGGCCCCUUGGUGGCUUUAGACAGGUCUUGGCAGCCCCUUGACGGGUUAAGAGAGGUUAAAGCAGCCUAAAACGUGUAAAGGCAGCCCCUUGGUGGGGGCUCAAGACAGCCACUUGGGGGCCCUAAGCGGGUCAAGGUGGGGCAAGGCGGCCUAAGACGGGGCAAGGCUGGUCAAAGCGGCCACUUGAAGGCCCAAGACUGCCCCUUGGCGGCCCUAGGCGGGUCACGACGGCCCUUUGGUUGUCCAAAACGGGUCUUGGCAGCUCCUUGGUGGGUCAAGGCGGCCCCUUGGUGUCCUUAUACCGGUCUCGGCCCUAGUUGAGUCUUGACGGGCCUAAGGGAGGUCAAAGCGGCCCUAGGUGUGUAAAGGCAGCCCCUUGGCGGGUUAAGGCGACCUUAGGCGGGCCUAAAAGGGUCAAGACAGCCACUUGACGGGUCAAGGUGGCCCAAGAUGGGUCAAGGCAGCCUAAAACGGUUCAAGGCAGCCCCAUAACAUGUCAAGGCGGGUCAAAACGACCCAAGACGAUUCAAGGUAGCCCCUUAACGGGCCAAGGCGGGUCAAGACGAGUAAGGGCGGUCCAAGGCGGGUCAAGACGGCCACUUGGCGGUCCUAAGCUGGACAAGGCGGGUUAAGGCGGCCUAAGGCAGGUCAAGGCGGCCCAAGACGGUUCAAGACAGCCCCUUAACAGGUCAAGGUGGCCCAAGACGGGUUAAAGCGGCCCAAGGCGUGUCAAGGCAGCCCAAGACGGGUCAAGAUGGCCACUUGGCGGCCCUAAACGGGUUAAGGCGGCCCAAGGUGGGGCAAAGCGGCCCAAGGCAGGCCAAAGGCGGGUCACGACAGCUCCAUAACGGAUCAAGGUGGCCCAAGGCGACAGAAAACGGCCCCUUGGUGGCUAUAGGCAGGUCACGACUGCCCCUUGGUGGUGCUAAACGGGUCUUGGUAUCCCCUUAGUGGGUCAAGGCGGCCCCUUGGUGGCCGUAGACGGGUCUUGGCAGCCCCUUGGCGGGCUAAGAGAGGUUAAAGCAGCCUAAAACGUGUAAAGGUAGCCCUUUGGCGGGCCUAGAAGGCCCCUUGGCGGGUCAAGGUUGCCCAAGGCUGGUCAAGACGGCCACUCUGCGGCCUAAUGCGGGUCAAGGCUCGUUAAAGCAGCCAAAGGCGAGGCAAGAUGGCCACUUGGCGGCCUCAAAACGGGUCAAGGCAGCCUAAGAUGGUUCAAGGCAGCCCGUUGACGGGUCAAGACAGCCCAAGGCAGGUCAAGGCGACACAUGGUGGGUCAAGGCGGCCCAAGACGGGUCAAGAUGGCCACUUGGCGGCCCUAAGUGGGUCAAGGCGGCCUUAAGCGGGGCAAGACUGGUCAAGGCGGGUUAAGACGGGCCAAGGCGAGUCACGGUAGCCCCUUAACGGAUCAAGGCGGUCCAAAACGGGUCAAGGCGGCGCAAAAAGGGUUAAGCCGGCCACUUGGCGACCCAAAGCGGGUCAAAGCGGCCUAAGAGGGGUUAAGCCGGCCACUUGGCUCCCCAAGACAGCCGAAAACGGCCUUUGGCGGCUAUAGGCAAGUUACGGCAGCCCCUUGGUGGCGUUAAACGGGUCUUGGUAUCCCCUUAGCAGGCCAAGACGGCCCCUUGGUGGCCCUAGAUGGGUAUUGGCAGUCCCUUGGUGGGUUAAGGGAGGUUAAAGCGGCCUAAAGCGUGUAAAGGUAGCCCCUUGGCGGGUCAAUGCGGCCCAAGGCGGGUCAAAGCAGCCACUUGACGGCCCAAGAUGGCCCUUUGGUGGCCUUAGGCGGGUCACAACGGUCCCUUGGUGGUCUAAAACGGGUCUUGAUAGCUCCUUGGUGGGUCAAGACGACCCCUUGGUGUUCUUAGACGGGUCUUGGCAGCCCCUUGGCGGGUCAAGCCGGCCCUAGUUGAGUCUUGGCGGGCCUAAGGGUGGUCAAAGCGACCUUAGGUGUGUAAAGGCAACCCCUUGGCGGGUUAAGACGGCCCCUUGGACGGUCAAGGCGACCCUAGGCGGGCCUAAAAGGUCAAGGCAGCCACUUAACGGUUUAAGGCGGCCCAAGGCGGGUCAAGGCAGCCCAAAAUUGUUCAAGACGGCCAGUUGGCGGCCCAAAGCUGGAUAAGGCGGGUUAAGGUGGACCAUGGUGGGUCAAGGCGGCCUAAGUCUGGUCAAGGCAACCGUAAACGGUUCAAGCCAGCCCCUUAACAAGUUAAGGCAGCCCAAGGCGGCCUAAAGCGGGUCAAGACGGCUACUUGGCGGCCCUAAGCGGGUUAAGGCGGCCAAAAGUGGCCCGAGGAGGGUCAAGACGGCCACUUGGCGGCCUUAGGCGUGUCAAAGUGGGUUAAGGCGGCCUAAGUCGGAUUAAGGCUGCCGAAGACGGUUCAAGCCAACCCCUUAACGGGUUAAGGCGGCCCAAGGCGGGUCAAGACGGUCAGUUGGCGGCCCUAAGCGGGUUAAGGUGGCCAAAGGCGGGGCAAAGCGGCCUAAGGUGAGGCAAGGCUGGUCAAGGUGGGCCAAGGCGAGUCACGACAGCCCUUAACGGGUCAAGGCGGCCCAAAACGGGUCAUGACGGCCCAAAGCGGGUUAAGGCGACAACUUGGCGGCCCUUUGGCGACUAUAGGCAAGUCACGGCGACCCCUUGGCGGCGCUAAAUGGGUCUAGGUAUCCCCUUAGCGGGUCAAGGUAGCCUCUUGGUGGCCAUAGACAGGUUUUGGCAGCCCGUUGGCGGGUUAAUGGAGGUUAAAGCGGUGUAAAGCGUGUAAAGGUAGCCUAGCCCUUUGGCAGGUUAAGGCGGCCCAAAGCGGGUCAAGACGGGCCAAGGCGGUCAAGACGGCCCAAAGUGGGUCAAGGUGGGUCCAGGCAGGUCAAGGCGGCCCAAGGCGGGUCUCGGCAGGUCAAGGCGGCCCAAGACGGCCUAAGGCGGGUCAAGACGGCCACUUAGCGGUCCUAAGCGGGUUAAGGUGGCCCAAGGCGGGUCAAGUCGGCCCAAGGCGGGGCAAAGUGGCCCAAGACGGGGUAAAGCUGAUCUAGGCGGCCCAAGGCAGGGCAAGGCGGGUCACGACAUCCCCUUAACGGGUCAAGGAGGGUUAAGGCGGCCCUAAGCGGGUCAAUACGGGUUAAGGCGGACCAAAACGGGUUCAAGGCGGGUGAAGACGGCCCAAAUGCGGGUCAAGGCAGCCCAGGACGAGUUAAGGCAGCCCAAGACGAGUUAAGGUAGCCUAAGACGUGCCAAGGCGGCCCAAAGCGGGGUCAAGACGGUCAUUUGGGGCCCUAAGCAGGUCAAAGCGGGUUAAGGCGGCCCAAGGCAGGUUAAGACGGCCACUUGGCAGCCCUGAGCUAGACAACGCGGGUUUAGGCGGACCAGUGCGGGUUAAGGCGGCCCAAGACGUGUCAAGGCGACCCACGACGUGUCAAGGCGGCCCAAGGCAUGGCAAAGCGGCCCUUUGGCGGGUCAAGGCAGCCACUUGACUGCCCUAAGCGGGUUAAGGCGGCCCAAGGCGGGUUAAGGCGGGGCAAAGCGGCCCAAGGCGGGGUAAGGCUGAUCAAGGCGGCCCAGGGCGGGUCAAAGCGGGACAAGACGGGUCACGGCAGCCCCUUAACUGGUCACGGUGGCCCUAGGCGGGUACACGGCGCCCUAAAGGCGGCGUCCAAGGGCGGGUCAAGACGGCCCAAGACGGUUUAAGGCAGCCCUUUAACGGGUCAAGGCGGCCCAAGGUGGGUCAAGGCGGCCCAAGACGUGUCAAGACGGCCCAAAGCGUGGCAAGGCAGCCCUUUGGCGGGUCAAGGCAGCCAUUUGGCGACCCAAGGCGGGUCAAGGGGGGGCAAAGCGGCCCAAGGUGAGGCAAGGCUGGUCAAGGCAGCCCAAGACGGGUCAAGGUGGGCCAAGGCGGGUUACGGCAGCCCUUUAACUGGUUAAGGCGGCCCAAGGCGGGUCAAGGCGCCCCAAAGCGGCUUAAGGCGAGUCAAGGCGGCCCAAGAUGGUUCAGAGCAGCCCCUUAACGGGUCAAGGCGGCCCAAGGCGGGUUUAGACAGGUCAAGGCGGCCCAAGGUGUGUUAAGGCGCCCCUUAACGGGUCAAGGUGGCCCAAGGCGCGUUAAGACGGCCACUUGGCGGCCAUAAGCGUGUUAAUACAGCCCAAGGCAGGUAAAGGCAGCCCAAGACGGAGAAAAGCGGCCCAAGGCAGGGCAAGGCUGGUCAAGGCGGGGCAAAGCGGCCAAAAGCGGGUUAAGGCGGGCCAAGGCGGGUCACGACAAGGUAGCCCUCAAGGAGUCAAGGUUGGUUAAGGCGGCCCUAAACGGGUCAAAGCGGGUUAAGGCUGCCCAAGGCGGGUCAAGGUGGCCGCUUGGCGGCCUUAAGUGCGGCCCAAGACGGGUCAAGACGGCCACUUGGUGGCCCUAAGAGGGUUAAGGCAGGGCAAAGCGGCCCAAGACGGGGCCAGGCUGAUUAAGGCAGCCCAAGACGUGUCAAGGCGGGCCAAAGCGGCUCACGGCAGCCCCUUAACAUGUCAAGACGGCCUAAGGCGGGUUAAGGCGGCUCAAAGAGGGUCAAGGCGGCCACUUGGCAGCCCAAGACGGCCCCUUAGCGGCUAUAGGCAUGUCACGGCGGCCCUUUGGCUGCCCUAGAUGGGUCUUGGCAGCCCAUUAGCGGGUUAAGGGAGGUUAAAACGGCAUAAAGAGUGUAUAGGUAGCCUUUUGGCUGGUCAAGGCGGGUCAAGGCAGCCUAAGGCGGUUCAAGGCAGCCCCUUAAUGGGUCAAGGCGGCCCAAGGCGGGUCAAGGCUGGUCAAGGUGGCCCAAGGCUGGUCAUGGAGUCCCAAGCGGGGCUAGGAGGGUCAAGGUAGCCCUUAACGGGUCAACGCGGGUCAAGACAGCCCAAGGUGGCCCUAGUUGUGUCUUGGCGGGACAAGACGGCCCUUGGCGGGUCAAGGUGACCCUAGGCGGUCGUAGGAGGGUCAAGGAAGCCCCUUUAACGGGUGAACCAAGGCGGGCCUAGAAGGGUCAAAACGGCCCCUUGGUGGCCCUAGACGGGUCAAUGCGGCCUCUUAACGACCUUAGGCGGGUCAAAGCGGCUCUUUGGAUGCUCUAGAUAGGUCUUGUCAGCCCCUUGGCGGGCCUAAAAGGCCCCUUCACGAGUCAAGGCGGGUCAAGAUGGCCACUUGGCAGCCCUAGGCGGGUCAGUGCGGCCCCUUGGUUGUCCAAAACGGGUCUUGGUAGCUCCUUGGUGGGUCAAGGCGGCCCCUUGGUGUCCUUAUACGGGUCUUGGUCCUAGUUGAGUCUUGGCGGGCCUAAGGGAGGUUAAAGCCACCCUAGGCGUGUAAAGGCAGCCCCUUGGCAGGUUAAGGCGAGCCUAGGCGGGCUUAAAAGAGUCAAGGCAACCACUUAACGGGUCAAGGAGGCCUAAGACGAGUCAACGCAGCCCAAGACAGUUCAAGGCAGCCCUUAACGGGUCAAGGGCGGCCCAAGGCGUAUCAAGGCGGCCCAAGGUGGGCCUAUGGGAGGUCAAAGCGGCCCUAGGCAUGUAAAGGCAGCCCUGUUGACCCGCCUUGGGCCGUCUUGACCCUUCUUGGGCCAACUUGGACCGCUUUGACCUGCCUUAACCCGCUUUGGGCCGCCUUCACCCUUCUUGACCUUCCUAGACCCUCCAAGGAGACCCUUUGACCCGCCUUGAUCCACCUUAACCCGCCUUGGCACCUUUACCCUUCUAAACCCGCCAAGGGGCCACCUUGACUCGCACAAGGCUGCCUUGACCCUCUUAGGCCUGCCUAGGGUUUCCAAGGGGUCGCCUUAACCCACCAAGAGGCCGCUUUAACCCUCAUAGGGCCGCUAAGGGGUUUCCUAGACCUUCUUAGACCCAUCUAAGGGCAUCAAGGGGCCGCCUUGACCUGUCUAGGGCCUCCAAAGGGUCGCCUUGACUCGCCCAGGGCUGCCUUGACCCGCCUUGACUCUCCUAGACCCUCCAAGGGGCCGCCUUGAUCUGCCUUAACCCACCUUAACCCGCCCAUGGUUGCUUUAACCCUUUUAAGCCCGCCAAGGGCCACCAAGGGGCCGCCAUGACCCUCUUAGGGCCGCCAAGAGGCCACCUUAACGCAUUUAGGGCCGCGAUGGCCUGUCAUGGGCCACCUUGACCCGCCUUGGCCGCCUUGACACUGAUACGGGCGCCAAGAUGUCGCCUUAACCAAUCUAAGGCCGACAAGGGGCUGCCUUGACCGGCCUUGGCCCGCCUUGACCCGCCUUGACCCGCCUCUGGCCGCCUUGACCCUCAUAGGGCCGUCUUGAC